GACGUAGGAUGCAAGCGGUGUCCGGAUUUAUUGGGCGUAAAGAGUUCGUAGGUGGUUCGUUAAGUCUGAUGUUAAAGACUGGGGCUCAACCCUGGGAGUGCAUUGGAUACUGGCGGACUGGAGUGCAGUAGAGGCAAGCGGAAUUCCCAGUGUAGCGGUGAAAUGCGUAGAUAUCAGGAGGAACACCGAUGGCGAAGGCAGGUCUCUGGGCAUUAACUGACGCUCAUGCACGAAAGCGUGGGGAGCAAACAGG
rnacentral:rRNA from 1 species